rnacentral:lncRNA from 1 species
AAGAACCCAAUUGCUUUGAACAAAACGUAACUUCACAAAGAUACUAAAAUCUUCAAUCUAUAGAAUUAAAUCAUGAUAACAGUAAGUCAAAACAUAGAUAAGUAACUUAAAUAAAAACGGUCAAACAAUCAAAAUCUCUGAUAAGAGUUGGUUUUCUUCAGACCACUACAAACUAAAGUUGCCACAAAAAGUUCUCACUUGAGAGGAAUAAACCUGGAUGAGUGAGUAGCACCAAUACCAGGUCUCCCGUGCUUAACGGGCUUGUAUGAGAUAGAAAACUCGGCUAAAUAAUGCCCGAUCAUCUCAGGUUUGAUUUCAACCUGGUUAAAGGUCUUGCCAUUGUAUACUCCUAUGAUGCUACCAAUCAUCUCAGGAACAAUGAUCAUGUUGCGGAGGUGGGUGCGCACUGGUUCUGGCUUCUCACCUGCUGGAGCUUCCCUUUUCU